GGCCUGCAAAGCAGAGGACACGCCGGCUCAAAGGGAGAGGUGGGGAGGGGGCCCAGGGCUGGUGACCCCAAAGGCCUCUGGCGCUCGGCCCAUGGCGCCCCCUGGCGGCCUCUGCGGAGAACACAGACGAGGAUCCCACUGAAGCCGUGUGGGGAGCCCCCAGGGGACAGAGCUCAGGUCAGCCCCCAACAAGCCGGCUCCCUUGGGAAGGAGCGUGUGGCCCAUCACAGGAGGGGCUCGAGAGGAGGCUGGGGGCCAGGCAGAGGGGGAACUCUGCGGCCUGAGAUGGAAGAGGGGAGGGGAGCGGAGGCUGAGCCAGAGGACAAAGCCUCGGGCCUCUACUCUGCCUCUGAAGACUGAGUACCCGAGUCAAACUAGGAGGUGAACAGCAAGAGCCACUGGGCACCUGAGGGGACCGGCCGGGCUCUUGGGUCACCAGGGCCUCCCCACAGUCUGCCUGGGUGCCCGUCCCUUGUCCUCCCAACCCAGCCUGGCCCGCAGGCCUUUCCCCCUCCGUCCGUGUCCCCCAUCUGUCUGUGGUCCUGCAGCAGCCCCCGUGGCCACCGUACGUGACCAGGUCUGGCUGCGAAUCCUGGCAGGCCUUCAGGCCCCCAGAGCCGAGGCAGUGGUCCAGGAAGGCCUCCAAGGGCUUGGCCCUGCGUCCAGCCUGCCUCCUGACCCCUCCUCCCGAGGGAAGCACCGUCCCGGUGGGGGCUCCAGGACGCUGUUGCUGCGGAAGCCACCAGCUGCCCCUCGAGAAGCCGUCCACGGUCUCCUCAGCCCCCGGUGCUCAGGCCUCGGCUCUCUCCGUGACUUCAGCCGCGGCGUCCAACGGCUUUGCUGAGCCCUCGCCUUUGCGGAGCCCCGCCAGCCUGCGCCCUGCUAGUCCCUCCUCCUGCCUCUGAGCACUCCCCUCUCCUUGGCGUCCCUCAGGCCUGCCCCGGGCCUCUUCUCUUCCUCCUCACUGGGUGAUCCCACCAGCUCCGGAUCUCCCUGCUCCAUCCCAGCCCUUCCACGGAGUCCGUCCGAGCAUCCCCAUCACUGUUCUGGGCAUCCCCGGCCUCCCAGACCUGCUGGCUCCCGUCUGGGUCUCAUCUCGGCCUCCUCACGAUCUCUCCCAGGUCUGGCUACGACGCCCCCUCCUCAGGAGACUCCAGCGGCUGCCGUUUGUCCCAGAGCAGACGCAUGCUUAGACCGCAUCCCUGACCGUACUCCAGGGUCCUCGGGCCUCUCCUAUGAACAAGGCCCUCCAGAUUGCAGCACAGGGCAUUCUCUCCAGCCAUCCUUCAUGCCUGGAUGCUCCUCCUCUCCCAACUAGUGACACCCCCCCCCCCCACCGGAUGCCUUUAUGUCCCUGCUAAAAUGCCACCUCCUCCAGGAAGCCUUCCCCAAGUUCCCUUAAUUCCAACACUUCCCAUUUAUCCCAUCUAGCGCGUGUAAUAAAUGCUCACAGAUGACUGCAGCCCUUAUUCUCCCAAGGAGAAAUCUGAGGUGGGAUCAGACAUGGGGAAGGCCAGCCCCUGCGGGAGCAAUUCAUUCUAGCCACAUAUUCUAUGGUCCUGCCCCCCACAGGCACUCCUCCUGGCUGAGGACCCCCAUUUCUCCGGACUCGUGGCCACCCAUUCGAUGGCAAGCCACGGCACCCCUUCUCCAGCCUCCCCCAGGCCUGACGAAACACCUGCCAGAAGAGCAGAGGACGGAGCGGCCAGUCCCUCCAGCGCGCCUGGCCCGGAGGAAGCCUCCAGCCCCUACGCGGCCCUGAGGUCAGGUUCCACAUUUCCCUGGCAGGAGGCGAGCGGCGGGUGCCAACCUAAGUCUGUGGUUCGGGACGGAGGUCAUCGGAGGCCCCCUUUUCCGCAUGACGCUUCCACCGGACGACUGACUGUUCUCCGAAUUCUGCCCGCUUUGCUUUGCAGCGGGUUCGCAGUCUUCCCAGGCUCUUCUGAGCUGCCCACUUCCUCCUUUUCCAGGCCCAGUAAAGCUCCGGGACAUCCUCAGGCCGCGGAGGGCUGAGCCCUUCCUCCCUAGGUGGCAUGGCUUCGGGUCUCUGGCCACAAAGACGUCAGCAGACGGACCUCGUGGGCACAGACUGGGCAGCAUCGAGCACCUCUCAGUCACCGUCCCAAAUGGCUCUCCAGCCUGGUUGGCCCAAGUCAUCGCCCCAUCCAUGGAGCCUGUUUCCCCGAAGCCCCUCUGCCUAUCAUUUGGCAACUUCUGUUACUGUGGCUGGCCUGCACCCGCGGUCAGCUUCAUCCUUGCUCCAAUUUCCUUUUCUAAUUGUAUUCAUUGCUUUCACCAAGGGAUUUUGGAAUAGCUUUUUCAUGAGAUGGAUUUCUUCCUUUGCCAUCUGCUUGUUAACAGUCCUUGGACCACUUAACUCAUCCUCCCCCUCCACAGCGGCUCUUCCAAGGCUCCCUCUCCCCCACCCUCAAAGCUGGGAAUCUUGCCCCGUGUUUUACAGGGAAAAGGAGGCUGAUGGCCGAGAGCUCCCUCUUCUCUCCUCUUCCUCAGCUCUUCUCCCAUCCGAGGCAGAUGCCUUCUGCCCCUCUCCUCCUCCUCCUCCUCUCUCACUCCAACAGACUGACCUUCGGUUAUUCCUCCUUGAUUGCUUCUUUUCCAAUCUCUCCCUUGCCACUGACCCAUUUCCUUCUGCCUGUAUCUCCUUCCUGAACAAACUCGCAUUCGAUCCUUGCAUCCCUGCUAAUUGGGCCCAGGGGAGGCAGAGGUGCCCAGAUUAGUCAGCCUCGCUCUCUCUUCUUCCAGAGUCUUCGACAUCCAGGGGUGAGACGAGUCGGGUGUCUGCUGAUGGCCUGGCAUGCAGUGGAUGGCCGGGGCGUCCUUGGUGUCUGACCGAGCUGGAGGCGCUCCAUGGAGCCUCCUUCCGCCGCCUUCACAGCUACCGGAUCAGACUGUUCUUGAACCCUUCCACCCGGAGAGCCUUCACCCGCCCGGGGCAGACCCUCCCCAGCUCGCCAUGGGUCUGAGGCCUGUGCCUGGUGUAGGCCACCUACCAAGAUGGUCUUCCAGUGUGUGGCUGUUGUGCACCCCAAGGCUUCUGGAGCCACAGAUGCCGCCACGCCGAAGUACCACCUUCAACGGAGCCCUUCCUGAUCCCCCAAAGGCUGCUGGCGUUCUUUCUUGCGCCCUCUAGUCAUUGUGGCAUCAUUUCUUCUUACCAAAUGAUAAGCAAAAUAUCCAAGCCGCAAAGAAAGAGGUUCAUUACGGGACGGCUGGAGCCCCAGGCAUGACCAGAGGCCCCUGAGCACUGGGAGAGACCUUCUUCUGCCCCCAAAGAAUGUGGCGACUUCUAUACCAGCACAAAAAUAGUCCAGGUCAGUGAAGUCACCAGGAAACACGUCUCACGGGCAGAGGAAGGCUUUUGGUUACGAACGUGACGGGGCUGAUGAUGCCCAAGAGAAAAGGGGACAGCAGUGAGUGGUACCAGGUUCUGAGCCAAAGGCCAGGCAUCCUGACGGAGAACGGAUCCAAGUCAGGGGGCCUGACUGAGCCGCCGUGAAGCUUCCUGGCGUCUUCGUCUCAGGCCCCCGGGUCGGCUGGAUGUGGCGUCCUGCCCAAAGGCCCUUCUGGUUUCUAAAGGGACUGGUCACAUCAAACCAGGGAGGAAUCCUUACUCGGACCCAAUGAUGGGACUCGUGAGAAGACCCCUUUGGUGAACUCAGUGAAGAGAAACAUGCCAAGCCUUCAUCCUCCAGGAGGCGAUUAAAGAAGGAAUAAUUUUAGGAAAAUGAUCCUCUAGAGUGGGCCUAAAAUUAAAUGAGGAUCCUUUCCGUCUGAUGAAACAAACACUGCUUUCCCCCCAAACGCUGUACUCCUACUCGAUGCUGAGUGUGGAAUGUUGUGUUUUGUUUGGGAAUGCUGUAAGCUGAGGGUGGAAAUGGGCUGGAGCAGAGGUUUUCAAGGGAGGGCGGAGCCCCGUCUCUGGCCUUCUCUCUCCCAAAGAAGACCCAGGAGUCUUGGAGGCAGCUAAGAAUCUUGACACGCCAAGUCAAGCCGGAAGAAGCUCAAGAAGCACAAAUCGGGAUGUGGUUCAAAAAGUCAGCUCGAGAGAGAGGGGCUAGGAGAAGGAAGCUAAGCCUGAGCCCCACGCCGGGAGGAUCGUGCGGGCCUCUGCUGUGGGAACGAGGUGUCCGAAAACUGGCCGUAGGCGACAAAGGGAAGGAGGUGACCCGGACCGCGAGGACUCUUGCUCCACAACUCGGCCCACCACCUUCCCGCGCCUUCUGCAGGCUCCGCCCCCGUCGCCUUGGCGACGCGAGGACGCCAGGACCUGCGGAGGGUAGGAAAAGUGGGUUGGGUCUGCGCAACCGCUAUCCGUCUUACUCAUUCCCCCCCCACCCCCCAAGUCUUGAAGUGCCCGACUCCGCGCCGGGUAAAAACAAAUGAAUAAAUAACUUACUCUCUAUACGAAA